rnacentral:rRNA from 1 species
GAAUGCUGACAUAAGUAACGAUAAAGCGGGUGAAAAGCCCGCUCGCCGGAAGACCAAGGGUUCCUGUCCAACGUUAAUCGGGGCAGGGUGAGUCGACCCCUAAGGCGAGGCCGAAAGGCGUAGUCGAUGGGAAACGGGUUAAUAUUCCCGUACUUGGUGUUACUGCGAAGGGGGGACGGAGAAGGCUAUGUUGGCCGGGCGACGGUUGUCCCGGUUUAAGCGUGUAGGUGUGUGUUCCAGGUAAAUCCGGUUCACUUUAACACUGAGGCGUGACGACGAGGCACUACGGUGCUGAAGCAACAAAUGCCCUGCUUCCAGGAAAAGCCUCUAAGCAUCAGGUAACAUCAAAUCGUACCCCAAACCGACACAGGUGGUCAGGUAGAGAAUACCAAGGCGCUUGAGAGAACUCGGGUGAAGGAACUAGGCAAAAUGGUGCCGUAACUUCGGGAGAAGGCACGCUGACACGUAGGUGAAGUGAUUUACUCAUGGAGCUGAAGUCAGUCGAAGAUACCAGCUGGCUGCAACUGUUUAUUAAAAACACAGCACUGUGCAAACACGAAAGUGGACGUAUACGGUGUGACGCCUGCCCGGUGCCGGAAGGUUAAUUGAUGGGGUCAGCGCAAGCGAAGCUCCUGAUCGAAGCCCCGGUAAACGGCGGCCGUAACUAUAACGGUCCUAAGGUAGCGAAAUUCCUUGUCGGGUAAGUUCCGACCUGCACGAAUGGCGUAAUGAUGGCCAGGCUGUCUCCACCCGAGACUCAGUGAAAUUGAACUCGCUGUGAAGAUGCAGUGUACCCGCGGCAAGACGGAAAGACCCCGUGAACCUUUACUAUAGCUUGACACUGAACAUUGAGCCUUGAUGUGUAGGAUAGGUGGGAGGCUUUGAAGUGUGGACGCCAGUCUGCAUGGAGCCGACCUUGAAAUACCACCCUUUAAUGUUUGAUGUUCUAACGUGGACCCGUAAUCCGGGUUGCGGACAGUGUCUGGUGGGUAGUUUGACUGGGGCGGUCUCCUCCUAAAGAGUAACGGAGGAGCACGAAGGUUGGCUAAUCCUGGUCGGACAUCAGGAGGUUAGUGCAAUGGCAUAAGCCAGCUUGACUGCGAGCGUGACGGCGCGAGCAGGUGCGAAAGCAGGUCAUAGUGAUCCGGUGGUUCUGAAUGGAAGGGCCAUCGCUCAACGGAUAAAAGGUACUCCGGGGAUAACAGGCUGAUACCGCCCAAGAGUUCAUAUCGACGGCGGUGUUUGGCACCUCGAUGUCGGCUCAUCACAUCCUGGGGCUGAAGUAGGUCCCAAGGGUAUGGCUGUUCGCCAUUUAAAGUGGUACGCGAGCUGGGUUUAGAACGUCGUGAGACAGUUCGGUCCCUAUCUGCCGUGGGCGCUGGAGAACUGAGGGGGGCUGCUCCUAGUACGAGAGGACCGGAGUGGACGCAUCACUGGUGUUCGGGUUGUCAUGCCAAUGGCACUGCCCGGUAGCUAAAUGCGGAAGAGAUAAGUGCUGAAAGCAUCUAAGCACGAAACUUGCCCCGAGAUGAGUUCUCCCUGAGACUUAGAGUCUCCUGAAGGAACGUUGAAGACGACGAC